rnacentral:rRNA from 1 species
UACGGGGGGGGCAAGCGUUGUUCGGAAUUACUGGGCGUAAAGGGCGCGUAGGCGGCCGCCUAAGUCAGACGUGAAAUCCCUCGGCUCAACCGGGGAACUGCGUCUGAUACUGGGCGGCUUGAAUUCGGGAGAGGAAUGCGGAAUUCCAGGUGUAGCGGUGAAAUGCGUAGAUAUCUGGAGGAACACCGGUGGCGAAGGCGGCAUUCUGGACCGACAUUGACGCUGAGGCGCGAAAGCCAGGGGAGCAAACGGG